GUGGCUGAGGAAGGGCUCGAGCAGUAUCUUCGUCCUUGGGACAUAUGCCGGCGGUAGAUGCACCGGUACCGUCAGCAACAGAAGUGGAGUCUCAUGAUCGUGGUGCCGGGUAUGACGCCCUAUCCUAGGCAAUGUUUCGUGUUCUGGAAAGGGUUUCCGGGGCAAGUAUGGGCAACGGCGUUCGGGGAUCCAUUUCUGAACAACUCCAGGC
rnacentral:lncRNA from 1 species